GGGGGGAGCAAGCGUUGUUCGGAUUUACUGGGCGUAAAGGGCGCGUAGGCGGCCAGCACAAGUCAGUUGUGAAAUCUCCGAGCUUAACUCGGAAAGGUCAACUGAUACUGUGCGGCUAGAGUGCAGAAGGGGCAACUGGAAUUCUCGGUGUAGCGGUGAAAUGCGUAGAUAUCGAGAGGAACACCUGCGGCGAAGGCGGGUUGCUGGGCUGACACUGACGCUGAGGCGCGAAAGCUAGGGGAGCGAACGGGAUUAGAUACCCCGGUAGUCCUAGCCUUAAACGAUGAAUGCUUGGUGUCUGGGGUUAUAAAGUCCCCGGGUGCCGUCGCUAACGCUUUAAGCAUUCCGCCUGGGGAGUACGGUCGCAAGACUG
rnacentral:rRNA from 1 species